CUUAUCUUGAAACCGAUGGCUUCCGCUUCCCUCCGACUCCACGCUCUUCCCGCUCCCUCCAUCCUUCCCUCCUCCUCCGAUUUUCAAAAUCCCGCUAAAACCCUAACCCUAACCGUUAGAUUCCCUAAAAGAUUCGUCGUCCGAUCAUCUCAGGGCCCCUUAUCGGAGUCGGAGGAGGAUCGAUGGCUUAGGGAAGAGCGGCGGUGGCUUCGGGAGGAGCAGCGGUGGCUUCGAGAGGAAUCCAGAUGGAAUUCCGAGCGGGAUGCGCUCGAUCGGGAGAUCACGACCCUGAAGCUCGAGAUCGAGGUUCUAAAGCGGGAGAGAUUGUCACAGGAAGCAUCAGUCGUUGAUCUGAUAACGAAUCUCACGGGUCUCUUGCAGACCCUGAAGGGUGCAGAUUUGAAGUCCGUCGUGGCGUCAUCUCGUAGUCAGAUUCCUGAUCGAAUCGAAGAAAAACAUGUUUUAUUAGAAGAAGAGCCUGUUGUUGACUCCGCGCCAGAGAAAGAGCGGAAAAAAAAGAAGAGGUUGUUGAGGAAGGGUUCAGAAGGAGAGGAUGUUAGAGCUAUGCAGAAAGCUUUGCAGAAAUUAGGAUUCUACUCAGGCGAGGAGGAUGUCGAAUUUUCAACUUUUUCGAGCGGAACCGAGAGUGCUGUAAAAACAUGGCAAGCAUCGGUUGGGUUGCCUGAAGAUGGAGUUAUGACUUUGGAACUGUUGGAAAGGCUACAUGGAGAGGUGCCGCUGCAAGCAAAUGCUGAUGCGGAUUAUGAAGAAACAAGCGUUGAGCCGAUCGCUGGCAAGGAUGGAGUUAAUGGAUCUGUCCGAGCAUCCAGCACUUCAGUCACUGAAGUUUCAGAGAUAAAGGAAAUGCUUUUAACGGACAAUGUUUUCAUGGAAGCUGAGACUUCAGAGCAUAAAGUCUUUCUUCUGGGAGAAAAUAGGUGGGAAGAACCGUCAAGACUUGCAGGUAGCAACAAGCAGAUUGGUAAAGGUGAAGCCAAGUCAGGAACAAAGUGCCUUGCCUGUCGUGGUGAAGGACGUUUGAUGUGCACAGGAACCGAUGUUGCAUGGAAGGCCAGAACAUACUUCCGUACAAGCAAAAGAAAUACUGCUUCGUAUCUCAUGGUACUGAGAGAAGAAUAUUUAGUUGCACACAAGACAGGAGAGCCUUCAUCUGCUUCCAAACGACGAGCCUAGUCCUUAAACUGGGCGUUCUGCAGGCCAGUGGCUGUGACGCAGCACCCUAUGCAUCCGGCGCUGCAGGUGAGACUGACGAAAGAAUGUGAUCGAGAUGCCAUUGGUUCUUGUUUGGUUUGAAGCGGGCAGCAGUCGUAGAUCGUCCGCCUUAUUAUUCUUUAAUCCCCGCACAACUUAGAGGACCUUCAGGUAUGCCAUGGUUCGUUUUAGCCUCUGCUUUGCUAUUUUAUUUUUCCUUGCAGAAUGACAUUUUCUUGCAAGUGAGCAAUGUCUUUUACCUGACAUUUUUUCUGGAAAUGAAUUGGUUGGUCAAAUCCCUCAA